AGCAGCAGAACCUCCUUAUAAAAGCCGCGAGCUAGCAUUUUAGCUUUCUUUUCACUAGUUGGUUGUUAGAAGAACCUACGAUGAAGUUAACAAUGUAUAACAGAGUUAAACCUACACUUGUUAUGUUAUAUGCUAUUCGUUCAUUGGAUGGUGUCCCUCCUCGAGCCAGAUAUUAGAUGAUCAUUGGCCUGAUCGCCUUGUCCUGAUCAAAGAUGCUGCGGCAGCACACUAACUAACCAAGGACAUCAUUUGUCUCCAAAAUGAAUGUCCAGUGUCUGAUCUCUGGGGUAAAAAGAGGCGUUUCUGUACUGUAACAACGAGAUGACGUCCAACUAAAGUUGUGGCAGGGAACCAAUGAAUUGUUUGCGACUGACAACUGCAGGAAGUGAAGACUGAUCUACAGUCAUCUGGCAAGGCUUGAGAUGGUUUCAUCGUCCCGAAGAUUGGCCAGUUUCAUUGUUUCAUCAUUCAGGAUUUUAUUUUUUUUUAUGAGCUGUACAUCUGCAAUUGGUUUCAUUGUUGAGGUUCUUAAAAUAAAAGGUGGAAACUAUUUAGUUGUCAAAUUUUUAACAUGGAUAUUUUAAAAAGACUGCUUAAGUAAUGCUUUUAAAUAUGACAAAUAUCUGGAGAUGUCUAAAUAGUAUGUUUUGUGACACGGCCUAAAUCUGGUGGGUAUGGAGGUAUGUCAUAGUUUCAUUUUU